ACUUGUGCAACUAUGUUAAUCUAGAUUAACUUUUGAAAUUAGAUUCGAUGAUAAAACCUUUAAAAAUACUUUAAAUUCCUCCCAAUGUUUUAAAAGUUUUGUUGGGGAGACCUAGUUUUUCUAUAUUUUUGUAUUAUAUAUAUGAAUUCCUUCUUACAUUUUAUUGUUAGAAUCCGUCUCAUCUCAUUUCUGUACCGCUUUACCUCACCGAAUUAUUAAUUAUUAUAUUCUAAUCGUGAUCACUGGAAACCGUGAGAGUUAAGUAUAGUUUCUACACGGACACAGAUAAUAGACGGAGAUCACGUCGCCACGGUGAGAAAUUGCAAGCAAGUGAUAUUUGAGCGGGCGACGAUGUUCUCUUUUCUGGGUUUACGUAAAGAUUCAAAGACGUCAUCAUCAGAGGCUGGUGGAUGCUUUGUGAUCAUUGACAUUCCAAUGAGCCCGGCUGGAAAACUAACAGCGAAUCAGCGUUUGCCAUGCCUGGAGUGCUUCCUGUUCUGACGCCCCAUUGCUCGCUGAUACUUGUCACCGAACAGAGAACGUCAACUAUCUGGCAUUUUAUGGACGAUUUUUGUGAAAAAUAAUUACAAACAAACAAAACAAAAAUAGCAUGAUUACAAUGUUCAAGCCUGUGCGCUUGAGCCUGAAUACACACAUCCAACACUUGACGUGUUAUAGAGGGGGUGUGGUACUAACGACAAAGAAUAACAGUCCUAUUAUUUGUUGGUUUCGAUAUGGAGAUUGUACAGCAAGUGUGGCCAGGUACCCCCCCCCUCCCCCCCAUUUGUACCUUUUAAGCAGUCAACCUCUUGUGAACGACCGGCGGCGGGGGGGAGGGAGUUGGCUAUGCACGCGGAGAUCGCCGUAAAUAGUAACCAGGAAAUGUUUUGUGCUCAGAGCCAACAAAGCGAGUGUAACACCGAGUCGAUGCUCCGUGCUAUUACUCCUCCGGGCAUUGAGCAAACAAAACAAAAAUAACAAUGCAUAAUGUUCAAGCGCUUGAUUCAGAAUGCACAGAGAUGGAAGUCGAAGUGUCGGGAGGAGCGUGGUGUUAACGACGAACAAUAACAGUCCCAUUAUAUGGACCGCGGAGAUUUGAUGCUUUUGUGAGGAGUCGGUCUCAAUGUAGAGAUUAUACAAGUAGACGUGGCAAGACUUUUUUUUUUUCCUUUCCCAAAUUGUACUUUUCAAGCGGUCCGUGUCUUUCGUUCGACCAGCGGGGGGUUUACAUGCGCACAUCGCCGUAUAUAGUAACCGAGAAGUGUUGUGUGCUUUCACGUAUAAAUCCAUCCAUCCAUCCAAAAUUGUACUUUUCAAGCACUCCGUUUCUUGCGUUCGACCAGCGGGGUAGGGGGGGGGUUUGGAUGCGAGCAUUGCCGUAAAUACUAACCGGGAAGUGUUGUGUGCUUACCCGUAUAUAUCCAUCCAUCCAUUUUCUGAGCUGCACGAUAGUCGUAGGAAUGCUGGAGCCUAUCCCAGCCGUCAACGGGCAGGAGGCAAGUUUACACACAUGCAGACACGAGGAGAACAUGCAAACUCCACACACGGAAGUCCGGCAUUGAACAGCUGCGCCACCCUCAUAACAGAUGUUGUUGCUUAUGCAGCAUUAGCACGAGAGGGUAUAACUCAGCUGCUACUAACCAGUAAUGAUGAGAUGCGUGCAGAAUUUCCCCUGCUGGUGAACGAGCCUCAACCGUGUCAGCCACAGCUGUUUCCUGUCAGGUUAAUCCCAUGGGAGGUUAAAGAAGGAGAAAUUUGGGUGCGUUUACUCAGUUUUGGUGCAGAACAAGUCGUCAUCUUGGCUUAACUAGAACGAAUGGUCUGUAAUGCUAAGCACCGGAGACGUCAGGGGUGGAGUCAAGGAUGUUUCUUCCGCGUUUGGCUCUGAAAGCUGGCACAUAUCCAGAUUUGGCUUGGAUUUAAAAUAUGUUUUUUAUUUUCAAUUUUUAUUUUCAAUUAAUGUCCAAAAUAUAUGUAAUAAUAAUAUUACUUCACAUUGGAGGGUUUAUUGUACAUAUUAAUUUUCAGGAGAGGCUUCCUUUAAUAACACUCAAAAAUAAUACAUUUCAUGACAGUGGCACUUUAAAGGUCUAAUGUCAUCCCUGUAAACAUUCUAAAAUAGAUGUUGAAAUAGAUAUUACAUUCACGUCAAUGUCUAUACAAAAAAAUAAAUAUGAGGGGAGAGCGCGUCAUGCAGGGAUGAGAAUUUUCCGCCAACCGGCGGAUUUCCGACUUUCACACCAAAAUUACCAUUCUCGAGAUAAGCGCAAAUCCGUUGAGAAAAUUUCAGAGGGGAGAGGGUAAUCGUGCGCCUGCAUCUCGGUGGUGGGCUCCGAGCUGCAAGUUCAGUUUAGUGCUAGCACAAGCACGACUAUCAUCUGCCGUUAUAACUUGCUCGGUAGUGUAAAUAUUUGCAUUUUGCGACAUAAAACUUGUUUGCGGCAGAUUACUCGAUUGAACAACAGAGUUAUACAGUAUAACGAUCCAAUCGUGUUAGUGGUUAAACGAGUUUCACUAUUGCCGUGUACAUGUGUUUUCGGUUCUCAGAAAUCGGAGUGUAACUUGUUAGUUAGCCAAGUAAUAGCGCGUGGGACUUAGCGCGAACUGUGCAACGGUGUGUUCAAAGUUUUACGAUGGCGAAUGUGUUAGGAAAAGAAGGAUGAAGAUCGAGCGAGUUGUAAGGUAAUUUUUAUUCAUACUGAUCCAAAAACUUGUGCUUCAUCUCUACACUAUACUAAUUCUAUGAAUAACUGACUACAUAUCAAAAAGAAAAUAUAAUGGUGUAUCCAUAUUAAACAGUGAAAGAGAUUGAAAAUUCAUUCUGAAGUUUGGCAAAUGGUGAAACUUAUAUGUAAUGUGAUUCAAAUAAGUACAAUAAUUCAAGCAUUGAAGAAAUGAAACUGAUAUUUCAAUUUUUGCUGUACUGGUAGAGCACCAAACAAGGGACAUUUUUUCCACAAAUACAGUUAAAUUCAGUGUUAAAAUUAAUGUUUUUGGGGCUAACAAAUUUCUAAAAUCGCUGAGUUUCCGGGGGCUUCGCCCCCUGGGCCUCCAACGGGGCGCUGCGCGUGCACCCCGCUGAGGGCCUGCGGCCCCCAGAGCCCCGGCUACUUUUCAGACUUUUUUUCUCAUUUGGCAUUCUCAUCCCGGUCAUGCGUGUGCAAAGUUGCGGAAUUGUCAUUUGACGACAUCCAAGUGGUUGCCAUAUUGGCUGCAUAUCCUGUUCGUGACACUCCGGACAUUCGCCAUUGAAAACACGCAGUGGACCCUACUAUGGGAAACCAACAUGCCCCUUCUGACACUGAAUCUCUUUUCGAAGAGAACAUCACACAACUGAGUGAAGUUACAAGGCCGGCGGCAGGCUCGGCCUUGCCUACAAGGCCGCGGCCGGCUCGGCCUUGUCGACAAGGCCAGUAGGGAGCCGUCCUUAAGUGGUUGCUGCACAGAAACCUCGCGAUGCGCACAUCGACACAUUUAUCAACCCUGAUUUAUGAAUUACACCCCCCACCCCCAUUAUUGUUUUUUUUUUUUUUAGUAGCUGUAUACACACCUACCUGUCAUUUGGAACCCACAAGCUCUUGUCCAUUGCACCCGUGCAAUCCAUUUUUCACAACGAACUAGGUAGGUCUCUUGCAAACUUAUGAAGGGUAAAUCCAUUCUCCCAGUGUUCAAGCAAUGUCCAGCGAUGCAACGAGCCGACAUUUUGGCUAACACGAAGGAACAACGAGCUACCUUCCUGAGGUAAAACUAAUAGAAACAAAUGUGUCCACUUGAGGGCGGUCCUGCCAUGUACGUCACUUCCUGCUUCUUCUCGAAAACAAAUCACUCGAAAGGAUUUUCAUGGCGGGAGUUACAAAAAGCUGUAUACGUCAAAAUCAUGUUUUGUGGUGAAAAGAACGCAUGGGUCCAUCUCGGCUCCCGUUUUUUUCAUUAACACAAAAAAUCAUGCAUUUCAUGACAGUGGCCCUUUAAAGGUUCUAUAUAGACUGUUUUCGACCACGUGAUCUCAUCCAGGCACGUGGCCAUGUUGUAUGGAUUCACUACUGACGUGCCGUUCACUCUUUUGCUUUUGGAUACAGUAGAGACCGCUAAAAUGGUUCAAAUAAUGUAUUUUAGGCACCAAAUCAUUCUUUGGACUGUGGGUAAAUGAGAAAAUUACACUUAACUUAACUUUUUUAUUCCCUAUGAAUAUUGUUAGUCUACAUGCUCAAAAGAACAAGAAAACCACAUGUGAAAAAAAUUUUGUUUUUUUUGCAAAAACAAAAAAAUUGGUCCCAGCUUGUUUCAUGUUAAAAAAUAAGUAUUCUGUCAGUUUCUGUUUUUUAACUUUUCAUUUGGGUCAUACAUUAAUACAUCAGAUGAUAAAUUAUCCUAACCUCUUAUGAAAUAUUCAAAACCCAACAAGAAAUAUGUUACAAGUGUAAUUUGCCUGAAGUUCGCCGAUGAAAACUAAGCAAAAAGUAGCUUUCCUUUGGGUUUCAAAGUUCCUGUGACUACGAAGAUUGACACCAAAGGUGUCUUAAACUUAGGGAAAGUCCACAACUCUAUGGGAAAGUUCACAACUUGCUUUAUUCCUUAAUUUCAAGGGAAGUCCACAGCUGACUGUUGGGCACGAGAUGAAAGUCACCAACUGUUUGUCCAAAUUUCACUUUGUUACUACAAAAGAAAUAAAUACAAUGAGAUAGAACUGGCAAUGCAGCAUUUAAUGUGGCAGAAAAAUGUGGAUUUUAAAUUGAUUUAGCAUGUAGGCAUAGAACUUCAUUGAAUAUGAAAUGAAUUUUAAUUCAUUGAAUGAUUAAUGGGAUUUACAGUAACCUAUAUUUUACCAAAGAUAAUUUUCUGAAAAAAGCCUCAAUUGAUAACAAAAUAUUCUGUGCAAUGUCUUAAAAAUAUUCACAAUCAAAUGCACAAAACACAGUGACCAAUUACUUGGGCAAGUGCACGAUUAAAAAAAAAAAAAAAAAAAACUAAGCAUAUAACUUUAGCUGCUGCAGUAAUACCUUCUUGAUCACUUGCAGUGAAUCAUUAGUAGUACUUGCACCUUAAACACUCUCAACACUGAACCAACAGCAUUCAACCUAUCUGAAACCAACGUGCCAACAAGAAGCAUACAUAAACAUCCCCAAUUGUUGCCCAAAUGUGUUGCAUUUUAUCAAGUCCAGUAACAGGUGAAGAGAGAUCACUAUCACAAUUAAUGCAGGAAUCAAUAUCAUUUACAUUUUUUUCGGGAAGUGUGCAAAAAUUUUUUAAGUAGUAUGAACCAGUAAAAAGCUUGGAUGCAGUUUAUAACAUUUCCUUUUUAUCGCUCGUCUUGGUUCAAGACCACCUCGAGCAGCCAUCUUCCUUUUUGGCACCGGUGGCGCUGCAUGCAGGGUAUUAUUUAUUCACCUCAUAUGGUCCAAAAACAUAACAGAUUACUAAGAUAAUUAGUUUUUAAAGAUAACAUCAUAAUUCAUCAAAUACUGACUGUAUAUGUGUUUCACACUGAAAAUCCUGACAAAAAACCCGAUCUUUGAACUUUCACUUAGCAUCAAAUACCCCUUAUUCUCAUCACAUUCCCUCCAAACUGGAAAACACAUGGCCUAGAGGUUCUCCACAAUGCAUUGAGACAGGUCUUGAAUCAUUCAAAAGUCAUAAUUUCACGUCAGAUGCUGUAAUAGAACAAGUCUUUUGUGAACCAAAAAUGUAACGCUUCUCCCAAAACCAGACCGACAGCGCCCCCUACCGGCCAUGGCGGUCGUGACAUACAGACCGAAGUUACACAAAUAUUUGUACGAUUGUUAAAAGUGACGCAUGAUGGCUAAAAAUACUUUGGAAAGUUAUCGGGGCUUAUUUGAUGUCGUUUCAAGAAAUUGUUACGAUAAGAAAUGUGCUAUGAUCAACAAUAUCGACCAAUAUGCCUUGGAGAAACACAAAUGGGGCAAGAAUUUCGGACUGUGGGCCUUUGUAACCUAUCCAGACAUCGUCAAUUAUCUCCUCUUCUCGACAAGCGCUUAUACCAUGGACCAACUAAAGAAUUACAAAGGUCUGGACGCCUACAACCAAUUCAUCAAUGGCUGGGUUCGUGAUGCGGCGGUAUACAUUUUAAGCAACCAGUGUCUCCACACUGCUCAGGUUAGUGUACCGCACGAUGCAAUUUAAAUAUGUAGGCUGAGGACACUUAAUUUCUGAGUGAAUGCUGUCGAAACUAUUCAUUCGUGUCAUUACAGGGAGCACUGUUAAAUUAUGUUGAUUAUCCCAACGAAAGAGGUUGUAGAUUGUUUUUUUUCGUUUUUGAAAACAUGCGCAUAACGAUCACUUGGUGGGGAAUGACAAAUGCAAGUGCAAACCGAAGAUGUGAAACAAUGAAAUAAAGAUUAAGACGGAUUCAUUAUAGAGUACUGAGGAGGUGGGAAUGGCUUCUGUUCAGUUUUAGUUGCUUUUGCGGGCGGAAAAUACAGAUUUUGAGAGACAUGCAUUGCAUUGACACACAAGUAUUAUGUAGACCCUUGGCCCUAAAGAAUACUUCUUCACAGAACUUAGUUAUUGCCAAGUAGGUGUGAAAUUCUAUAAGGUAUCCAAUACCAACAAAGAACAAAAUGCUCCGACCAAACUCUGACAUAAAGGAAUGAUUUGGCUGUUAGAUCGGAUCUGCUGAUACGAGACAGCCACAGUUGUCGCCGUUUGGUUGAUAACUGCUAAUUUUUUUCGCACUGGUUCUUGAUCACAGCUGGCAGUUGAAAGAAAGACACUUUACAAUGCCCACUUUCGUUUGAGCAACCGAUAAUAUAAUACUGCACCACAAUUCAUAUGCCUUUCUGAACUGAUUUCUGCUUAGUUACGGUUGUUGGCUGGAAUUCACUCAUCCAAAAUGGCUCCGUUCUCUUAACCGGAAGUUGUGUGACGUCAGACAAAAAUAGUCUAUAGAUAUCUAUAUAGUUUUCAUCUGAAGUCACAUAACUUCUAGAACGAAAAUAGCCGUCCUCUGCUUCACUUUUCCGACGCUUGGCGACAGAUUGGACAGAAAAGGAUCCCGUGCCUGAAUUGGAAAUCAACAAACAACAAAAAGCUGUGGAGUUCCGGUAACUUACCUUACAUACGAUCAUGGAUAACCUAAAUUCAAGUAGCGCCAUGCAACUGACUGGUAAUCUUGCAGAUAAUUGAAAGCAUUUCAAGCAAUGAUUUAAUAUAUACUUUGCAGCAAGUGGAGCAGGGGUAGAUGCGGAAGUAACUCGAGAGCUGUUUGGUGGUACAUGUUCUACAAUGUGAAAGUAAAGAUUGAAUCCUUUGAAAUACGACUCUUCUAUUUGUGAUACAAUAUAACAAGACAACCCAUUCACCAAAUGAGAAAUUUGACUGUUCGCUUCCCUGUCUUGGACAACUGGAUAAACACAUGUAUCUGGUGAAUAAGUCGUUGAGAUUUCACAGAAGAGUUUGAUAGCAUAUUAAAGUAUGGACGCAUACGAAUACUUUGUUGCUAAUACUUUGUUGCAGAGGCUAGAUACAGGCCCAAUUAAAAUAUACAGUCUCUCUUGAUUUGUUCUCAAUCAGGAAUAAAUCCCACAUAGUGAUGGACCCACUCAGAUUUUUUUCAAUACAAAUACCAAACUGAUUGGAAAAAAAGUUCAGGAGAGCGAGUCGUCUCCUCCGUAAACCUCUCUGUGACAGACAGGUUUUUUUUAAUACGCAUUGUUCUCAAAUGAGUCAACUUGACAUUAUAAAUACUUCUAAUAAUUUCAGAUUGAGAAGAAUAAUUCAUACUUGAAAUGAAAUGAUCGCUAAGAGGCGUGUGUAUUUCGUUGGGCACCAUCAUCCCGUUUAAUUGCCGAAAUCCAUUGAUCUUUUCUAGUCUUGUCAGCUCGUAUUCUAUAGAAGGAUAUCUUUGAAGAACUAUCUCGUCUAUUGUGACGAUCAACAGCACAACGGGUCUUAGGCAUUGUGAAAAAUCUGCUCUUAUUCAGCGACUCCCGCACUGCCGAGUAGCUUUGUUUGACCGACAAUAUGGCAUUAUAAACAAAUGGUAACGUCACACGCACGAUCUCUAUUGCAUCUAUAUGUUCUGCACUACUAACAAAUUAUUUUUAAAUUAAACUGGCACACAUUUUCAAUAAUAUCAAUGUUUUGUAGCAAUUAGUAAAUAUGUAAUUGCCUUCAGAAUAGAUUUUUUUUAUUACCAAAAUCUAUACAACCCCCUGUCUUGGUGUGACAUCAUAAGACAUGAAAAGUUUUACACAACAUAUAUCCAACUAACAUCUACAUUUCACGUUUUCUUGAUAAUGAUGACAAAUAUUCUUUUGUACAACUGAUACCAAAACUAUUUCUCUGAUUUUACGAAUGUCCUUGUAGUGCGACAUACUGGAAAGAAAUCGAAAAAUACAUUUUAUGAGUCAAUAUAUAAAACAAUUAUGACUGACUAUACUGACUUCCCCCUGAACAGUGUGACAAUUACUUUCUG